rnacentral:rRNA from 1 species
UACGUAGGGUGCAAGCGUUAAUCGGAAUUAUUGGGCGUAAAGCGCGCGCAGGCGGCCUAUUAAGUCUGAUGUGAAAGCCCACGGCUCAACCGUGGAGGGCCAUUGGAAACUGGUAGGCUUGAGUGCAGGAGAGGAGAGCGGAAUUCCUGGUGUAGCGGUGAAAUGCGUAGAUAUCAGGAGGAACACCGGUGGCGAAGGCGGGUCUCUGGGCAGUAACUGACGCUGAGAAGCGAAAGCGUGGGGAGCGAACAGG